UACGUAGGGUGCAAGCGUUAAUCGGAAUUACUGGGCGUAAAGCGUGCGCAGGCGGUUUUGUAAGUCUGUCGUGAAAUCCCCCGGGCUCAACCUGGGGAAUUGCGAUGGAGACUGCAAGGCUAGAAUCUGGCAGAGGGGGGUAGAAUUCCACGUGUAGCGGUGAAAUGCGUAGAGAUGUGGGAGGAACACCGGAUGGCGAAGGCAGCCCCCUGGGUCAAGAUUGACGCUCAU
rnacentral:rRNA from 1 species